CUACGGGAGGCUGCAGUGAGGAAUUUUGCGCAAUGGGGGGAACCCUGACGCAGCAACGCCGCGUGAGUGAUGAAGGCUUUCGGGUCGUAAAGCUCUGUCAAGUGGGAAGAACCUAUGCAGUGUUAAUAUCACUGUAUACUGACGGUACCACUGAAGGAAGCGCCGGCUAGCUCCGUGCCAGCAGCCGCGGUAAUACGGGGGGUGCAAGCGUUAUUCGGAAUCAUUGGGCGUAAAGGGCACGUAGGCGGCUUGGUAAGUCAGAUGGGAAAGCCCGGGGCUUAACCCCGGAAGUGCAUUUGAUACUGUCAGGCUUGAGUAUGGGAGAGGGAAGUGGAAUUCCUGGUGUAGAGGUGAAAUUCGUAGAUAUCAGGAGGAACACCGGUGGCGAAGGCGACUUCCUGGACCAAUACUGACGCUGAGGUGCGAAGGCGUGGGUAGCAAACAGGAUUAGAUACCCGGGUAGUC
rnacentral:rRNA from 1 species